GGCUUAGAGUUUGAUCAUGGCUCAGAUUGAACGCUGGCGGCAUGCUUUACACAUGCAAGACGAACGGCAGCACGGGGAGCUUGCUCCCGGGUGGCGAGUGGCGCACGGGUGAGUAAUACAUCGGAACGUGUCCUCUUGUGGGGGAUAACAACCCGAAAGGGUUGCUAAUACCGCAUGAGACCUGAGGGUGAAAGCGGGGGAUCGCAAGACCUCGCGCAAGGGGAGCGGCCGAUGCCCGAUUAGCUGGUUGGUGAGGUAAAGGCUCACCAAGGCGACGAUCGGUAGCUGGUCUGAGAGGACGACCAGCCACACUGGGACUGAGACACGGCCCAGACUCCUACGGGAGGCAGCGGUGGGGAAUUUUGGACAAUGGGGGAAACCCUGAUCCAGCCAUGCCGCGUGCAGGAUGAAGGUCUUCGGAUUGUAAACUGCUUUUGUCAGGGACGAAAAGGUUUCGGUUAAUACCCGAAACUGCUGACGGUACCUGAAGAAUAAGCACCGGCUAACUACGUGCCAGCAGCCGCGGUAAUACGUAGGGUGCAAGCGUUAAUCGGAAUUACUGGGCGUAAAGCGUGCGCAGGCGGUUCCGUAAGAUAGAUGUGAAAUCCCCGGGCUUAACCUGGGAAUUGCAUUUAUGACUGCGGAACUGGAGUUUAUCAGAGGGGGGUGGAAUUCCAAGUGUAGCAGUGAAAUGCGUAGAUAUUUGGAAGAACACCAAUGGCGAAGGCAGCCCCCUGGGAUACGACUGACGCUCAUGCACGAGAGCGUGGGGGAGCAAACAGGAUUAGAUACCCUGGUAGUCCACGCUCUAAACGGAUGUCUACUGGUUGUUGGGGAUUUAUUUCCUUGGUAACGAAGCUAACGCGUGAAG
rnacentral:rRNA from 1 species